UUCUAAAAACUGAAGUGAUACCCUGGUUUAGUAUUUAGUGAGUGGUGUCAAGAGAACUGACCCUCAGCUGAAGUGUCAAACUAAUGCCCAAAAUACUAGAUAGAAACCAUCUUUCAGCCAACAACAGCAAAAAUAGCUCACGGUUCCUUCAUGUGAGCUGUACUCUUCAUAAUUGCUUCAAAACAGCCUUUUGUCUGGAGAACAAGAAUGCCUGCAUUUCAAGGUAAUAAUUAUGUGCAAAGUGCUUGAGAUAUUUCCAUUAUGAAUGGCAAUGUACUUCACAAAAUAGUUUUUUUUUCAUUUGAAACGAUAGUAACCAAAUAACAAAUUAUUUUACAGAAUGCUGUUUAAAGCAGCAGCAACACACCAAAAGCAAAGCAGUUGUUUAAAAUACCAACUGUAACUGCCCCACAUCGGCAGUUAGUUAAAUUCUAAACCUCACGAUUUUUGGUUCCUACCUGUAAUAAUAGCGUUCCUAAGGGCGGAACUAAUUGCCGACUUAGUUUCCGGGGGGCACGAUUCUUGGCGCACCUUGGAGGGCAGCAAAGAAAAAGGAAGCAACACAAAGGGGAUACACCGCCAAAAUAAGUUAAAUGUUAAAUAAGCAAGAUCAUAAAGAAAGACAGAAGACCAAGAAAUACCUCUUAAGUAGUAAGCAGUGGACGAGUUCUCAUGGGUUGGUUGGAGCCGAAAAUAAACCCCAUAUUUAACCACGACCUCGGGCCUCGUGUACUGCUUGGGAGCUACAGUGAGAACUCAACUGCUUUGCAUGAGUAGCCUAGGAGGACGUCACCUGACGGCAGCAGCCGAGAAGAGACGAACCAUAUCCAUGCUGCGUGUGUAUCUUCUACCACCACCUACGCCGAAACACAAGAAGAGCAAGCCCACAGGAAGGCCAUGGUGCCCCUAGUGUGAAUAUUGCUGGAAAACUACAGAGGAAGACUUGAAGCAACAAAAAGAUCAGAAGAGGCCUGGAAAUCAAGCAGUUAAUGUAUAUUUCUGUGCAUGUUUUAUUUCAGCACUACAUGCUGUAAGAAAGAUAUCCAUUCAAAUCAAAAAUCUCCUAAGCAAUGUAAUAAUGUUCCACUAACUUAAGGGGAAACGCAAUAGUUAAUGGACCAUUUUUGCAAUCUACUGACAAAAUUAAAAUACCAACAAAAAUACCUCUCAAGGUCUAUGACUGACUUGACAACAUUGAGAGAAAUACUGUGGAUGGCUCGAUUGUAAUCAUAUAUAGUCUUUCUGCUGACUGGUUAGCACGCAACAAAAGCUUUUCACUAUAUUUCGGUACACAUGACAAUAAACUAAACUAAGAAUAGUAUUGAAAACAUAAUUAGAUAUUCUAUCUGAAAUAAAAUAUUGCAGAUGUUGGAAAUUUAAAAUUAAAAGGGAAAAUAGCUUACUUGGCAGCAUCAGUGGAGAGAGAAACUGGUUGUAAAUGAAACAAGUUUUAAAUUGCAGAGAAAGAUGAGAGUGGUGGAAAGAAUGAAAAAUAAUGGUCUGUGAAAGGAUAGAGAUAAGCAGGCAUUAAAUGAAAUAAUUGGUGAUGAUACUAUGUCUGGAGCAGGUGAAAACAGCAGGAGAUGAAUGAAUACAUUAGUUAAAACAAAUGUAGGUCCCUUGCAGUCAGAAACGGGUGAAUUGAUCAUGGGGAACAAGGACAUGGCAGACCAAUUGAAUAACUACUUUGGUUCUGUCUUCACUAAGGAAGACAUAAAUAAUCUGCCGGAAAUAGCAGGGGAUCGGGGGUCAAAUGAGAUGGAGGAACUGAGUGAAAUCCAGGUUAGCCGGGAAGUGGUGUUAGGUAAAUUGAAUGGAUUAAAGGCCGAUAAAUCCACAGGGCCAGAUAGGCUGCAUCCCAGAGUACUUAAGGAAGUAGCCCCAGAAAUAGUGGAUGCAUUAGUAAUAAUUUUUCAAAACUCUUUAGAUUCUGGAGUAGUUCCUGAGGAUUGGAGGGUAGCUAAUGUAACACCACUUUUUAAAAAGGGAGGGAGAGAGAAAACGGGGAAUUACCGACCAGUUAGUCUAACGUCGGUAGUGGGGGAACUGCUAGAAUCAGUUAUUAAAGAUGGGAUAGCAGCACAUUCGGAGAGUGGUGAAAUCAUUGGACAAAGUCAGCAUGGGUUUAUGAAGGGUAAAUCAUGACUGACGAAUCUUAUAGAAUUUUUCGAGGAUGUAACUAGCAGAGUGGAUAAGGGCGAACCAGUGGAUGUGUUAUAUCUGGACUUUCAGAAGGCUUUCGACAAGGUCCCACAUAAGAGAUUAGUAUACAAACUUAAAGCACACGGUAUUGGGGGUUCAGUAUUGAUGUGGAUAGAGAACUGGCUGGCAGACAGGAAGCAAAGAGUAGGAGUAAACGGGUCCUUUUCACAAUGGCAGGCACUGACUAGUGGGGUACCGCAAGGCUCAGUUCUGGGACCCCAGCUAUUUACGAUAUAUAUUAAUGAUUUGGACGAGGGAAUUGAAUGCAACAUCUCCAAGUUUGCGGAUGACACGAAGCUGGGGGGCAGUGUUAGCUGUGAGGAGGAUGCUAGGAGGUUGCAAGGUGACUUGGAUAGGCUGGGUGAGUGGGCAAAUGCAUUGCAGAUGCAGUAUAAUGUGGAUAAAUGUGAGGUUGUCCACUUUGGUGGCAAAAACAGGAAAGUAGAUUAUUAUCUGAAUGGUGGCCGAUUAGGAAAGGGGGAGAUGCAAAGAGACCUGGGUGUCAUGGUACACCAGUCAUUAAAAGUAGGCAUGCAGGUGCAGCAGGCAGUGAAGAAGGCUAAUGGUAUGUUAGCAUUCAUAGCAAAAGGAUUUGAGUAUAGGAGCUGGGAUGUUCCUACUGCAGUUGUACAGGGUCUUGGCGAGACCACACCUGGAGUAUUGCGUACAGUUUUGGUCUCCUAAUCUGAGGAAAGACAUUCUUGCCAUAGAGGGAGUACAGAGAAGGUUCACCAGACUGGUUCCUGGGAUGUCAGGACUUUCAUAUGAUGAAAGACUGGAUAGACUCGGUUUGUACUCGCUAGAAUUUAGAAGAUUGAGGGGGGAUCUUAUAGAAACUUACAAAAUUCUUAAGGGGUUGGACAGGCUAGAUGCAGGAAGAUUGUUCCCGAUGUUGGGGAAGUCCAGAACAAGGGGUCACAGUUUAAGGAUAAAGGGGAAAUCUUUUAGGACCGAGAUGAGGAAAACAUGUUUCACACAGAGAGUGGUGAAUCUCUGGAAUUCUCUCCCGCAGAAGGUAGUUGAGGCCAGUGCACUGGCUAUAUUUAAGAGAGAGUUAGAUGUGGCCCUUGUGGCUAAAGGGAUCAGGGGAGAGAAGGCAGGUACAGGAUACUGAGUUGGAUGAUCAGCCAUGAUCAUAUUGAAUGGUGGUGCAGGCUCGAAGGGCCAAAUGGCCUACUCCUGCACCAAUUUUCUAAGUUUCUAUGUUUCUAGGAAAGCUGAAGUAUACUUGAAGAGGUGAGAAGAAAAUAAGAAAGCUAAAAAUGUUUGUCACUCCAAAAUUGUUGAAUUUGACAUUGAUUAUUGAAACAAGUUUGCACUCAGUGAUUGCCAUCACUGCAUUGUUCCCAGCAAAAUGACAUAAAUAAAUCUCACUCUCACAUAUCACCAAAUGCACAUUUUUGUACCAACUUUAAAGUGAUGGUGAUAUGUUUUGAAACAUUUAUUGCUAAUUAAUUUGAAUUAGAUAUACAUUCUGUCCUAUGUGUCACCUCCUAUACAUGAUUUACAAAAAAUGUUCCGGCUAUAAGGAAAGAUUUGCAUCAAAAUUGUCAUUUACAACCUCAAGACCUCAAAUCUCUAUGCAGUCAACAAUAUCCAUUGAAUAUGAUACCAAAAAACCUGCAGAUUCUGGAUUCCUGAGCAAAAAAAAAAACAUGCUGGAAAAACAGUUGGAGCAGCAAGUCAGGCAGCAUUUAUGGAGGUAAUGGACAGACUAUGCGUAGAAAGGAACUAUAUAUGCUGGUAUACACAUAUAUCACAGAUGCUGGAUGGUCAAUGUCACUGCAGUAAUUGGAGAUGAAAGUUCAAAAGAGGGUAGAAAGCCAGUAGAGGGAGUAGAAAGAAGGUUCCCAAACCAAAUUGCCACAGACGGUGCUUUAUCUCCUGAUUUUCUCCAGAGGUUUGUUUUUCAUUCAAUCUAUAUAACUAAAAGUCUCAUCUUGACCACUUCCUGUCUGCGCUGUAUAUUGAUUUUAGAAAAAAACGUUACCGUAUAUCACUAACAUUUUUAGCCAUACAGUCCUCCUCCGCUGACACGAAGUGCCUUUCCCAGAAGGAUUUUAUCAGGCUUUAUCUUGCAUUAAAUGUAAUCGAGUUUCACUGUAUCUUAAUUGGUACACGUAACAAUAAACAGACCUUUGAACCUUUGACCUUUGAAACUUUUUAUCCUAUAAAUGUUCAUUGUAAACAGCUUGAUAGUAAUUAUGUAUAGUCUUUACAUUGACUGGAUAGCAUGCAACAAAAAGCGUUUCACUGUACCUCAGGACACGUGACCAUAAUAAACUAAACUAAACUAAACUAAACUAAACUAAACUAAACUAAACUAAACUAAACUAAACUAAACUAAACUAAACUAAACUAAACUAAA